GAGGCUGCGGAGUCUCCUUCCGUGGAAACAUUCAAAACCUGCUUGGAUGUGGUCCUGUGCCCCCUGCUCUGGGUGUCCCUGCUCAAGCGGGGGGGGUUGGAUUAGAUGAUUUCCAGAGGCCCCUUCCAACCUCUGCCAUUCUGUGAUUACCUUUUAUUGCUAGAAAUGUCUGAUGAGUUACAUUUUAUUUUCCCCAAAUACAUUAUUCAGAGUGAUAGUGUGAAAUGCACCAAAUGAUAGAAAAAUACAAAUUAAAAAUUAAAUGAAAAAAUGGUCAUGUGGAAACGCUGUAAUGAUGUACCCUCCCAUCAGGCUUGCAAACUAUGCUUUUCUUUAAGCUCAUUUUCAUAUUUUGUGUGCAAAUAUUUGUCCACAGUGCAAUUUGGAGGUGCUUUUGCCUGUGUGUUGAACAUAGCAACUUUGGGACUGAAAAUGAGAGAGGAGGAAUGUAGAGAUGCUAUUGUCUCAGCACGACACCAUUGCUUGAAGGAGAGAAAGAAGCCUACCAGCAACAAAACCUUGAGACUCCAGUUACAGUGAGUUUCCAAUUCUGUAAAUAAAUAAAUCACUUCUUAAAAAGACAGUAAGCCUGAACUGGAAAGUAAAGUGGGGAAAAAAGUGGGUUUUUUUUCUAUCUAGCUGAGUCCAUAUCUGACCUUCCAGCAACUGUGAAUGCUUUAAUUUCAAUGAAGCAGCGCUUUUUUCUUUGAGAACUUGAGGCAGAGCAUUUCUGAUCAGCUCUUGCGCCAUUGAAUUUUACCAGUUUGUUCACAUGAGAUAUGUUUUGUUCUCUUUUGAAAUGAAAACUAAGUCUCUACGCUUUCUCUGGAAACCAUGUUGAAAUUUGAGAACAACGUUUCACAAAGCUGCCAAAAACUUACCUGGUACACCUCCAAUAAACACUGGCUCCCUGUGGUCAGUUGCCUUUGGAUUUAGUGGCCCUACCACAUGGUUGACUUCAGAGUCUACAUCCAGCUGCACCACAUUAGCAUCUCUAAUAACUGAAAGGAGAAGAAACAGGGAUCAAGAAGAUUGUAAGUAGCAUGUGAGUUCUCUGUGACAGACAGGAGUUAUCUGUUUGGUCUGAGUAGUUUGGUUUAGUAUGUGCUAGAUUGCCUGUGAGCCAUCAGUGACACUAUGUGGGCAGAUUCAGGCUCAGAGCCAAUGGAAGAUACAGUGUGGGAGCAAGGGUGCUUCUGAGUGGGGCUCUUGAUUGCUGGCAGCUGUGUCUAGGCUGCAGGGUAUGUUCAUACAAUGGUGUGUUGCUUAGAAAAACUGUUUGCCACAUCGUCCCCAACAGGGGAUGUAUUAGAAUACAGUGAGGUUUCCCCCUUGCUUAUGUGUCUGGGUUUUCCUUCAGAAGGAAACCAGAAUGCGUGGGCGAAGGAUACACACUCAGAUCUCUUCUGAAUGUGAUACUGGGAGACAUCCUAAGUGGGCAUCUAGACAGGAAGGUAAGGAAGUUCAAAGUACCUGAGGUUUAGAAGUACUUGUUGACUUUCAAACCCAGGAAAGAAGAUUGCUGUCUGGCACAGAGGCAAAUCCUGACUAUAGACAUCUCUCUGCGUGAGGCAGAGGCUCCCCAGAUCUGUCCUGUUACUUGACAUUUAAGGGCAGCAUAUACUUGUGCCUACUACAUUCUGCCAACUUAUUUAACCUCUAAGUGGAAAAAGAAGAAUAUAAUCUGUUAGAUGACUUAAGCAAGGUUGCCAGCAUUUCAGCUAGGCUGUUUUGUGCUCUUUGAACAGGAGCUUCCAUCUUGGCUUGUUCUUUGUAGGAACUUGUGCUUGUCCUCCCAGGAAGAUCUACAGUUCCUGUAUCUGAGGGAUGAAUACAACUGUGUCUUUCAUACAGGCUUGUGUCUUGACAGGUGAAAAGGAAGAACUGAAAAUAUGACCCCGUUCCCAGUGCACCAGCCCAUGGAGGUGUGUAUCUGCGGAGGGAGAACUGGGCUUUGUCACAUUAGUUAGGGGAUGAUCGUGUUUUACUGACCUGCAAUUCGGUGCCACCUGCCAUCGCAGAGACUCUGUUUCAGUGUCACUGAAGUUGAAAAAUCCCUGAUUCCAUUAUUCAGUUUCACAGUAACCUGGAGGAAAAUAAUGUAGUCAUCACUGUAAACCCCCUCCUGUUCUGUCUGUCUUCUUCUGUUGUAAUAAUGCUGUGUUCCCCACUCAAAACAUGUCUAAUAUGUAAGUGAAAGAAAAACAUGAUUUCAUGAAAACCUUUAAAAUAAAGCACCUUUCUAAUUUACA